rnacentral:rRNA from 1 species
UACGUAGGUGGCAAGCGUUAUCCGGAUUUACUGGGUGUAAAGGGCGUGUAGGCGGGGACGCAAGUCAGAUGUGAAAACCACGGGCUCAACCUGUGGCCUGCAUUUGAAACUGUGUUUCUUGAGUACUGGAGAGGCAGACGGAAUUCCUAGUGUAGCGGUGAAAUGCGUAGAUAUUAGGAGGAACACCAGUGGCGAAGGCGGAUUGCUGGACAGCAACUGACGCUGAGGCGCGAAAGCGUGGGGAGCAAACAGG